rnacentral:rRNA from 3 species
AGACCCGAAACCCGGUGAUCUAGCCAUGGGCAGGUUGAAGGUUGGGUAACACUAACUGGAGGACCGAACCGACUAAUGUUGAAAAAUUAGCGGAUGACCUGUGGCUGGGGGUGAAAGGCCAAUCAAACCGGGAGAUAGCUGGUUCUCCCCGAAAGCUAUUUAGGUAGCGCCUCGUGAAUUCAUCUCCGGGGGUAGAGCACUGUUUCGGCUAGGGGGCCAUCCCGGCUUACCAACCCGAUGCAAACUGCGAAUACCGGAGAAUGUUAUCACGGGAGACACACGGCGGGUGCUAACGUCCGUCGUGAAGAGGGAAACAACCCAGACCGCCAGCUAAGGUCCCAAAGUCAUGGUUAAGUGGGAAACGAUGUGGGAAGGCCCAGACAGCCAGGAUGUUGGCUUAGAAGCAGCCAUCAUUUAAAGAAAGCGUAAUAGCUCACUGGUCGAGUCGGCCUGCGCGGAAGAUGUAACGGGGCUAAACCAUGCACCGAAGCUGCGGCAGCGAACGUAUCACUUAAAGCGAUUCAGCGGGUUACGAUUGACGGAGCGAAGCGACGUCAAAGCGUAUA